rnacentral:rRNA from 1 species
GAUGAACGCUGGCGGCGUGCCUAAUACAUGCAAGUCGAGCGAACAGAUCAGGAGCUUGCUCCUUUGACGUUAGCGGCGGACGGGUGAGUAACACGUGGGUAACCUACCUCUAAGACUGGGAUAACUUCGGGAAACCGGAGCUAAUAUCGGAUAAUAUUUCGAACCGCAUGGUUCGAUAGUGAAAGAUGGUUUUUCUAUCACUUAUAGAUGGACCCGCGCCGUAUUAGCUAGUUGGUAAGGUAACGGCUUACCAAGGCGACGAUACGUAGCCGACCUGAGAGGGUGAUCGGCCACACGGGAACUGAGACACGGUCCAGACUCCUACGGGAGGCAGCAGUAGGGAAUCUUCCGCAAUGGGCGAAAGCCUGACGGAGCAACGCCGCGGGAGUGAUGAAGGUCUUCGGAUCGUAAAACUCUGUUAGUAGGGAAGAACAUACGUGUAAGUAACUGUGCACGUCUUGACGGUACCUAAUCAGAAAGCCACGGCUAACUACGUG